AGAGUUUGAUUAUGGCUCAGGAUGAACGCUGGCGGCGUGCUUAACACAUGCAAGUCGAACGAAGCAACUUAUUACGAUCCCUUCGGGGUGACGAUUGUUGACUGAGUGGCGGACGGGUGAGUAACGCGUGGGUAACCUGCCUUGUACAGGGGGACAACAGUUGGAAACGACUGCUAAUACCGCAUAAGCGCACAGCUUCGCAUGAAGCGGUGUGAAAAGUUUUUCGGUACAAGAUGGACCCGCGUCUGAUUAGCUAGUUGGUGAGGUAACGGCCCACCAAGGCGACGAUCAGUAGCCGACCUGAGAGGGUGACCGGCCACAUUGGGACUGAGACACGGCCCAAACUCCUACGGGAGGCAGCAGUGGGGAAUAUUGCACAAUGGGCGAAAGCCUGAUGCAAGCGACGCCGCGUGAGCGAAGAAGUAUUUCGGUAUGUAAAGCUCUAUCAGCAGGGAAGAUAAUGACGGUACCUGACUAAGAAGCACCGGCUAAAUACGUGCCAGCAGCCGC
rnacentral:rRNA from 1 species